rnacentral:tRNA from 2 species
GGGUUGCUAACUCAAUGGUUAGAGUUCUCAGCUUUUAACUGAGCAGUUUCGGGUUCGAGUCCCGGGCAACCCA